GCAACAAAAACCCGUGAACCCCGUCAGGACCGGAAGGUAGCAGCGGCAGCGGGAUCUUUUGUGUGCCGUAUAU
rnacentral:SRP_RNA from 1 species